rnacentral:rRNA from 1 species
UACGUAGGGGGCAAGCGUUGUCCGGAUUUACUGGGCGUAAAGAGCGUGUAGGCGGCCACGCAGGUCCGUUGUGAAAACUGGAGGCUCAACCUCCAGCUGUCGACGGAAACCGUGUGGCUAGAGUCCGGAAGAGGAGAGUGGAAUUCCUGGUGUAGCGGUGAAAUGCGCAGAUAUCAGGAAGAACACCAAUGGCGAAGGCAGCUCUCUGGGACGGUACUGACGCUGAGGAGCGAAAGCGUGGGGAGCGAACAGG